CAGAUGAAGACACUGAUGUGUGGGGAGAGGAAGAGAGCUGCGGGAGGUCACAGCCUGGGAGGCCCGGACCCAGAGACCCUGCACACACCCGAUUGCUACUGAACCAGCACGCAAAUGAAAACACAAGGUCAUCGUGAGGCCAGGGAGACAAGGAAGCUGGACCUGGGGUCAGUCUUCAGAUUCUUCUCCAGAUCUCCAAGCGGUUGCCCAAGUUGAAUUGUUUCAGAAGCUCUCUUAGAGUAAGUGAAGAGCAUUUCAGAAAUGUGGCUUUGAGUAGAGGACAGGCUGGACGUCAGAUUUCUGGGAUCCACUCUCAUAAUGAAUUAAAAAAAAUCUCUUUAUCAAAA